GAGUUUGAUCCUGGCUCAGGAUCAACGCUGGCGGCGUGCCUAAUGCAUGCAAGUCGAGCGGGGUGAUCUUCGGAUCACUUACGCGGCGGACGGGUGCGGAACACGUGGGCAACCUGCCCUGAGGUGGGGGAUAGCCGGUGGAAACACCGGGUAAUUCCGCAUACGGUCACUGGCUGGAGGGCUAGUGAGGAAAGGGUCUUCGGACUCGCCUUAGGAGGGGCCUGCGGCCGAUUAGCUAGACGGUGGGGUAACGGCCUACCGUGGCGAUGAUCGGUAGCUGGUCUGAGAGGACGGCCAGCCACACGGGGACUGAGACACGGCCCCGAUUCCUACGGGAGGCAGCAGCAAGGAAUCUUCCGCAAUGGGCGAAAGCCUGACGGAGCAACGCCGCGUGUGGGAUGACGCCUUUCGGGGUGUAAACCACUUUUCUCAGGGAAGAAAUCUUGACGGUACCUGAGGAAUAAGGACCGGCUAACUACGUGCCAGCAGCCGCGGUAAUACGUAGGGUCCGAGCGUUGUCCGGAGUUACUGGGCGUAAAGCGCGCGCAGGCGGCGGUAUAAGCAUGGCGUGAAAGCCCCAGGCUCAACCUGGGAGGGUCGUCGUGGACUGUACCGCUUGAGGGCGGUAGGGGCUGGUGGAAUGCCUGGUGUAGUGGUGAAAUGCGUAGAGAUCAGGCGGAACACCCGUGGCGAAGGCGGCCAGCUGGGCCGUCCCUGACGCUGAGGCGCGAAGGCGUGGGGAGCGAACGGGAUUAGAUACCCCGGUAGUCCACGCAGUAAACGAUGCAGACUAGGCGUGGGGGGAGUUGACCCCCUCCGUGCCGGAGCCAACGCGGGAAGUCUGCCGCCUGGGGAGUACGGCCGCAAGGCUAAAACUCAAAGGAAUUGACGGGGGCCCGCACAAGCGGCGGAGCGUGCGGUUUAAUUCGACGCGACGCGUAAAACCUUACCAGGGUUUGACAUGCUCCUGCAGAGCCGGGAAACCGGUUGGCCUUCGAGGGUGGAGCACAGGUGCUGCAUGGCUGUCGUCAGCUCGUGCCGUGAGGUGUUGGGUUAAGUCCCG
rnacentral:rRNA from 1 species